CACCGCGGUUAGACGAGAGGCCCCAGUUGAUAAUACAACGGCGUAAAGGGUGGUUAAGGGUAAACAAAAUUAAAGCCAAAUGACCCCUUGGCCGUCAUACGCUCCUAGGCGUCCGAAGCCCUAACACGAAAGUAGCUUUAAACAAGCCAACCUGACCCCACGAAAGCUGAGAAA
rnacentral:rRNA from 1 species